GAAAGAGCUGCUGGAGUAAUAUGGCGCCCGGCACCUACUAAACGUUGUUGCCCCGCUCUUUUUACUCGGAAGUUGAUUUAUCAUACAGCAAAAAGUCACCGUCAGUGUUUCUUUGCGUGUUCAGUCUUUCUCAGUGAGUCUUUCUCUCCAGAAAAAAAAAACGCUUUUAGCUCGUUUUUUAUUUUAACUUUGUCUCAAACGACACCGUCGCCUAUAGCACGGAAAUGUCCGAAGUGGAAGUAAUAAAGCUGCUGGUGAAUCAGCGGCUGACUGCAGUGGCUGAAGAGAUAGUGGGACUGUUUGAGAAAACCUUUGCAGAGUACCGAGACAAUGUGGCUCGCUUGGUGGAGGAAACAGAGCGACAGCGCAGGCUGCUGGAAUCCGUAAAAACCCCGGGAGCUCCCUCACCACACACAGAAUCCUUGGUGGGGGAAACAGAGCGACAGCACAGGCUGCUGGAAUCUGUAAACACCCCGGGAGCUCCCUCACCACACACAGAAUCCCAGCCGGCGUUGGAAAUAGACACAGCACCGAAACAACAAACUUUGGGAGUGAGCUUGAACCAUGAGCACAUAGGUGCUCGCUACAUCAAAGAGGAACAGGAAGAAAUGUGGAGUAGCCAUGAGGGAGAGCAACUUCAAGGAGUGGAGACGUUCUCUUUUGGCUUUAUCCCUUUAAAGACUGAGAGCCGAGAGGAGUCGGAGGUCAGCUCUCCAUACCUUGUGAAAUUGUUACGUGGAGACUAUCAGCCGCAGCAGAAGUGUAAUGAAGAGGUUCCGUCUCAGGAGCACGAGUGGAGACCUGCUCUGAAAGAGGAGCCUGAAUGCUCACAAACUGAAGUUGAACAGGAGGAACUCAGGAGAAGCCAGAGAGAGACACGUAUAGGACUGGGAGAGAAUUCAGUCACAGAGUUGCCAUUCAUUGCUGUAAAGAGGGAGGCUGAUGAAGAGGAAGCUUUGUCGGCUCAGCUUCACAACAACGCAGAGUCUUCAGACUGCCAGUCCACUGAACAUAUGCAAGUAGAGAGUGAUGGUGACGACAGUGGAGGAGCAGAACCACUGACCGAAGCAGCUAGUGACAAGACUUCCGACUCUUCAGACAGUGAGACUGAAGACAGCGAUGAUGACUGGAAAAGAAUAAAUACAAAGCAGUCCCAUUUUAAAGUAAUGAUAGGUAAUAGAGUUGCUAACUCACAACCUGUCCAGACAUUAGAUCCAACUUCAGUUAGUGAUGAGAAGACUUCUGAUUCAUCUGAAACUGAGACUGAGGACAGUGAUAAUGAUUUGAUGGAUAGCGAUAAAUCUAAGAAAGGUUCAACUAGUGUUACAUUUAAACAUGCUCUUGUUGCAAGUUCUUCAAAAAUGCAUACUGAGAAGAAAUCUAACUGUAGGCAGCAACUGAAUAAUCACACAGGUACACAAACAGCACAGAUUUCUAUCCAGGGUUCACAACUUGUUCUUCACAAAGCAAACUCAGGUAUGAGAACCAGUUCUACAGAACGACUUUUAAGCGACUCCAAGAAACGUGAAGAAAGUGCAUCUCCGAAGGCACAGAACACCAAGGACAAAUGCUUCACAUGUUCAAGUUGUAAUAAAAGUUUCCAAAGGAAAACACACCUGAUUCAACAUAUGAAAAUGCAUAAAGAGAAUCCUAACAUUAGUGGUGUAAACAAGCCAGUGUAGUAUCCAGGAAUGGCUUGUUUCAUUUUGUCCUUUUGUUAUCCAGGAACACUGUUAACCUUUUUCUUACUGUUAAGUGAAUGGCAUUCCAGCUAAUGAUAACCAACUAUCUACAGAAUUUUCAGAAAUAAAAUAUUUUUUUAUUUUUGUUUUUUAAUGGACCCAAAGGUCAAUAAAAUGUAAAAAAUGUUACAAAGACAAAUGCAAAGCUACUGGUACUUUUUUUUGUAAUCGCUGAGGCUGCAAAACCUGCCCAUUCAAUUGCUCAUUAGGAAGUUCACUCUGUUUUUAAGCUCGUCUGCACAGAGGACCAAUGAGCUUAUUCCAUGUUUUGUUCUUUUUUUCUUUUUUUUUUGUACAUCUUCUGUCUAAAUUAAAUGUGUCAAAAGUUUGUGAGUGGUUUAAAUAGAAUAGACACAAGUCAUUUUACUAGGUACUGCUGUUCAACUGCUUCCUAACAUAAAUGUUAGCCACGGCUUUCUUUACAUUCUUUUAAUGCUUGUUUGUUGAAAAUGCUAGGGCACCGCUGAAGUUCAAACUGAGAAUCAGAGUCGGGGGGGACUUUUCCAGGCAAAAAUGCCUGUGACGUCAGAGAACAAUGGCCAGUUUUAAUUUGAUUGGAAAGUAACAGAAAAUCAAACACUUCGAAUAAAGGUAUGGAGAAGAGCAUAUCUGGAUGCACUACACAUCCAACCUUGAAGCAGAUGGGCUACAGCUGCAAAAGACCACAACACCUACCACUCCUAUCAACCAGAAACGAGAAACCGUGGCUACAGGAUUUUAAAAAGCGGACAAUAGAAGUUUGGAAAACAUUGCCUGGUCUGAUGGAUCUCAAUAUCUGCAAGGUGUAUGUAAUAAAGCGUCAAGAGUAUUUGCCCAUUAGAUAGAUAGAUGGUAGCUCUUUUACAGGAUGGUAUCACUUUGCUGAAAUGGUUUGGGUCCACUUGUCAUUUGACACAUUAACAUUACUAUAGUUUUGUACUGACCUUUUUAUUUUGUAGUGAUAAUCUUUAUCCUAUGCGAAAACAUUAUUCUCCAGACGACAGUGGUGUCUUUCCAGGUGAUGAUGCACCUCACGUGGUUUAUGGAGUGUAGAAAUAUGGGUCAUGUGCUAUGGCUAUUGGAAUCACAGAUGUAAUUUCAGCUGAGCAUAUUGGAAGGAUUUGAACUGAAAUGUUAGACUACUACCCACAACUGUUGACUGUUUUCCCCUUUAAUUUGUCACCACUUCAUAGGAGACCUGAUUGUAAAUAAAUGUGCCUAUAAAGCACUUUGGGUCACUUUGGUGUCUUUUGAUGUUGAAGGAAACUGUACUCACUGACACAUUGACUUUCUUUACAAUUUCUUUAUAGGAAACACCUACAUUUUUAAGUGUGUUACAAGAUAAAUAUAUAUUCUUAGUGCUUAUUUUGUGAUUAUAUUGUUUUUUGUACUUUGUAAAUGACCCUGUGCACGAGGAAAUGCUAACUUCCUGGUUUGAGACCGGAUGUGGGGUUGUACAUUUCCGGUAGCUUUACUUUGCGGUCAAUCGCUACUGCAAAGAUAUACCCCAAAAUCAUG
ensembl:lncRNA